GUUCCUACGGGACGCAGCAGUGAGGAAUAUUGGUCAAUGGAAGAGAGGCUGAACCAGCCAAGUCGCGUGAGGGAUGACGGCCCUACGGGUUGUAAACCUCUUUUGUCGGGGAGCAAAGAGAGUCACGUGUGGCUCAUUGAGAGUACCCGAAGAAAAAGCAUCGGCUAACUCCGUGCCAGCAGCCGCGAUAAUACGGAGGAUGCGAGCGUUAUCCGGAUUUAUUGGGUUUAAAGGGUGCGCAGGCGGAGGUGCACGUCAGUGGUCAAAUUGCGGGGCUCAACCCCGUACUGCCGUUGAAACUGCAU
rnacentral:rRNA from 1 species